rnacentral:rRNA from 1 species
GACGAACGCUGGCGGCGUGCUUAACACAUGCAAGUCGAACGGAAAGGCCCCUUCGUGGGUACUCGAAUGGCGGACGGGGGAGUAACACUUAAGUAACCUUCCCUUGACUUCGGGAUAACUUCAGGAAACUGGGGCUAAUACCGGAUAGGAAUCCUUUCUGCAAGGGGGUGGUUGGAAAGCUUCGGAGGUUUUUGAUGGACUCUCGGCUUAUCAGCUUGUUGGUAUGGUAGUUUCUUACCAAGGCUUUUACGGGUAGCCAGCCUGAGGGGGCGACCGGCGAUAUUGGGACUGAGAGACGGCCCAGACUCCUACGGGAGGCAGAAGGGGGGAAUAUUGCACAAUGGGCGGAAGCCUGAUGCAGAAACGCCGCGUGCGGGAUGACGGUCUUAGGGUUGAAAACCGAUUUCAGCAGGGGCGAAGCUUGUGGUGACGGUACCUGCAGAAGAAGCACCGGCUAACUACGUG